AUAAAAUUCAAUUAAUCGAAGGAAGUGAGUGGAUGAAAAGUUCAGCCUUAAUAAUGUAGCCAAUGAACCUGUUAUACGAUCAUCUCUUGCGGUGGAAUAUGAAAAAUUGGUGGGAUAUUUGGUAUUAUGUUCAAGAAGAAGUUGAUUGAGAAACAACAUUUGAUCAGAGACCGUCAAAUCUGCAAAUAAUUUUUGUAGCUGAACACAAAAUUUUUGUGUUAAUGGAAUCAAUGGGUUAAUGAAUGCCUUUAAAUUGGAUGAGUGUAAUAA